AAACCAACAGGGAUUGCCCUAGUAACGGCGAGUGAAGCGGCAACAGCUCAAAUUUGAAAUCUGGCCCUCGGGUCCGAGUUGUAAUUUGUAGAGGAUGCUUUUGGCGCGGUGCCUUCCGAGUUCCCUGGAACGGGACGCCUUAGAGGGUGAGAGCCCCGUACGGUUGGACACCAAGCCUCUGUAAAGCUCCUUCGACGAGUCGAGUAGUUUGGGAAUGCUGCUCUAAAUGGGAGGUAAAUUUCUUCUAAAGCUAAAUAUUGGCCAGAGACCGAUAGCGCACAAGUAGAGUGAUCGAAAGAUGAAAAGCACUUUGAAAAGAGGGUUAAAUAGCACGUGAAAUUGUUGAAAGGGAAGCGUUUGCGACCAGACCUUUUCUUGGCGGAUCAUCCGGUGUUAUCACCGGUGCACUUCGCCAAGUUAAGGCCAGCAUCGGUUUUCGUAGGGGGAUAAAAGCCUGGGGAAUGUGGCUCCUUCGGGAGUGUUAUAGCCUCUCGCAUAAUACCCUUAUGGGGACCGAGGACCGCGCUUUAUGCAAGGAUGCUGGCGUAAUGGUCGUCAACGAC
rnacentral:rRNA from 3 species